CCCGGGCCUUGUACACACCGCCCGUCACACCAUGGGAGUCGGCUGUACCAGAAGUAGGUAGCUUAACCCGUAAGGGAGGGCGCUUACCACGGUGUGGUCGAUAACUGGGGUG
rnacentral:rRNA from 1 species